UACAGAGGGUGCGAGCGUUAAUCGGAAUUACUGGGCGUAAAGCGUGCGUAGACGGUUAUUUAAGUCGGGUGUGAAAGCCCCGGGCUCAACCUGGGAAUUGCAUUCGAGACUGAAUAGCUAGGGUACGGUAGAGGGAAGUGGAAUUUCCGGUGUAGCGGUGAAAUUCGUAGAUAUUCGCAAGAACACCAGUGGCGAAGGCGGCUCACUGGCCCGGUACUGACGCUGAGGUGCGGAAAGCGUGGGGAGCAAACAGGG
rnacentral:rRNA from 1 species